rnacentral:misc_RNA from 1 species
AAGUCGUAACAAGGUUUCCGUAGGUGAACCUGCGGAAGGAUCAUUUCCAAAAAAGCAUUGCCUUAUCAUAUACACCUUAUGGUGUGUGAACAGUUGGUUUAGAAAAAUCAUUUACUCUCGAAGCGGGUCAGCAUCUCGAAUGCUACUGUUGAGAGAGGCCUUGAUGAACCCACAUCCUAUUGUUGCGAGGGAAAAUGUAGUCCUACAAGGAGAUUUUUAUCUUUCUACAAUGCUUUCUACAUCUCGAAUGUAGUCACAUUGUUUUGAAAAAUAUUAUCCGGCCUUGUGCUAACAUCGAACUCCAAUAGAGGACGUUAACAUAAAGUACCAAAGUAUUUCUAAGUCAAAAAAGGCUCGCUGCUAUAUCUCGUAUAUACUGCAAGCCAAUUUUACUCUAGUAAAUAUACGACAACUUUUAACGGUGGAUCUCUUGGCUCGU